rnacentral:lncRNA from 10 species
CCCAGCACCCACACGGCCCCGCCCAGGCCUGCGGGCUGGCCUUGCUGAUGGUGAACAGGGAGGAGCAGGCCAGAUUUAAAUCAACUCCCGACAGAUUUGAGGCACCGCUGAAAAAGGCACUCUGACAGCAGUUGGGCUUUGGGCUGGAAACAGAAUCCAGUUCCUGCAGGUGGUUCAGAGGAGCCUUAAGGAAGGGUUGCUCCGUGGUGUGGGUCAGAUGGACGUCACUAGGCAGGAGCAAGUGUCCAAGGCCUGGUGGCAGGGGAGGAGAUGAUUGUAGACCUAGUGAGAAAGUCAGCAUCUGUGGGGUGGGGACACAGCCACUACCAGAAACCAGUCCCACGUCAAGGGAGCCCAGAAGAGACGCCUCCCCUCUCCUCCCACGGGCUGGGCCAACUGGAAGCAUCUGCAGGGGAGCUGAGGGGAUGUGGUGCAGUCUUUAGCAUCCCCUGGGCACUGAGCAAGCAGAGAAGGGCAGAAAUGGAGGUGGGGUUGGGGUGAGCAGCAUCCUGGGAACAGCCAGCCGAGGGUGUGGUAGGGGGUCGCAGCCUUGUUCCACACAAGCACAGUUCACCCGUGUGGCAUUUCCGCUGGGCAUUAAGAUUCAGAAACAAUGAAGAUAGAAAGCUUUUACCCUUAAACUUUUCAUAGCUUGUAAGAGUCGUAUAAUCACUUAGCUGUGUCUGUGGAAGUUACCUUUGGACUCUCACUAUCAUCUAGUGUGUCUGUGAUUCGGGCAGUAGGUCAUUUUCAGGACUUCUCAUGAAGGCCAUUUCCUGAUAGUGUAUAGAAAUCACACUUCACUCGCUUAGCACAAGUCUAUUUUUAAUGUUUCCGGGUUCGGGUUUUUUGUUUUGUUUUUGUUUUUCUGAGAUAGAGUCUCAUCUGUUGCCCAGGCUGAAAUGUGGUGGCUUGAUCUCGUCUCACUGCAGCCUCAACCUCCCCCAGGCUCAGGUGAUCCUCCCACCUCAGCCUCCUGGGCACAUGCCACCAUGCCUGGCUAAUUUUCAUAUGUUUUGUGGAGAUGGGGUUUCUCCACGUUGCCCAGGCUAGUCUUGAACUCCUGCGCUCAAGUGAUCCACCUGUCUUGGCCUCUCCAACUGGCAUGAACCAACACGCCCAGCCAGUUUCAGUGAUUUUUCAAGAAAUACAUACUCAUUUUAGAAAGUACAAAGAGAUUGAAAUAAGAGCUCACUAACCAGAGACGACCCAUUAUGGUUUAAAUUUCUUUGUAUAUGUGCCUACCUUUUCCUGUGUGUGUAUAUUUAAUACACAGCUUGAGUAUUCCUUCUCUGAAAUCCUUGGGACCAGAAGCAUUUUGGAUUUCAG